AUCAUCGUUACUUCUAGCUUCAACAUCGGCAUCGAACAAAAUGGGAGGGGACGAUCCCACAAGGCCUUGUACGUCAUCCAGCCCUUGCUCCAUGGAUGAUUACGUCCCCGGAUGACUGUUCCUCAGCAGUGUUUCAUCUCCCUGCUUGCGCUCACUGUGUUCUGAUGGACCUUUGCUCAGAUAUCUGCAACGACUCGGCUUGCCAACCUCCGAGUCUGGCGCCAGAAACGGACGAUCUCGCAGGUCCGUUGCCUUUUCGACCUUCGAUCCCUUUCAAUCGACGCUAUGUCCGAACCCGCAUCGCCGUCUAUGCCCAGCCCGUGCCUCCAGGGGGGAGGUGAUCAUCCAGAUAUCCCUGUCCUCCGGCCAAGGCGUCCCUUGGUCCACAACGACUCUCCCUCGGGUUCCCGCCUCUUGCUCGCUUUCUGCGGAAUGUAUCGUGCAUGGAAGUCAAUCACUGCGGCCUGCCCUUCUCGAUCUUCACUCCGUGUAAGGACUCUGUUCCGUGUUGAUGUUCAUCAUUGUCCCACUGUGACCACUAGUGGAUGAAAAGUGGGCGGUGCCACUGCUGCUCACCCUACCACAUUGAGACUUAUCCCAGCGAUCUUUGGAUCCACCCAGGGCUACCAGCUAUUCAUGAAAUGUUGUGCAACGCAUUUGUGCUGGUGAUUUAUAGCCUAGUAAUGUACAGAGCUGUUUGAAGAAUAAUUUAAUGGUUUGUAGAAUCUACCAGUUUAAAAGCAAUGGUAUGCUGUGCUUUACGGCGCUUCUCGUGUUUUUAACGACUGUGAAAUAUAUUGGACCAAUGUCGUCGAUUAAAUUAUGCAAGUGUAACGUUUGGUGUAACAUUUCACCAUCAUGCUCAUGUUUCACCACCAUAUACAAUCACAGUGCGAUUGAUCGGCCCAUCUACAUAUUUUUGUUUGCCAUAAUGCAGGCAUCCAUUCACAUUGUGCAACGUAGUGGCAUAUUGAUGCUCUUUUGCAUUAAAUUGCAUGGAAAGUAGAGCAACUUGGUACGGAUUCAGCUUCUAUCACUCUGCACGGCAGGUAGGCUCCUUCUGUGUGUGCAUGUUUGACACGUAUUGCAUAUUUU
rnacentral:lncRNA from 1 species